GACGAACCGUGCGGACGUUAUUCGGAAUCAUUGGGCUUAAAGGGCGCGUAGGCGGCGGUGUAAGUUGGAAGUGAAAUCCCAUCGGCUCAACCGUGGAAUUGCUCCCAGUACUGCACUGCUCGAGGGGGAUAGGGGUCUGCGGAACUACCGGUGGAGCGGUGAAAUGUGUUGAUAUCGGUGGGAGCGCCAGUGGCGAAAGCGGCAGACUUGACCCUUCCUGACGCUGCAGCGCGAAAGCUAGGGGAGCAAACGGG
rnacentral:rRNA from 1 species